GUUUUAUUAGUGGUUCGGCAUACAGAUUUACUUCUUUACCCUUCAGGUGGAGUUACUUCAAUUACCUACCUACCGCCCCAAAGAGAGAGCGGCUUCUGUAUCCAACCUCCAUGCAAAUCCUCCGCCGUCCAUUCUCCACACAUCGCACGGCAGAAUCAAUGAAUUUUUUUCCUUCCCGCACCUGACAACCCUAACCCGGCAAGUGAACGCCGCCGUAGAUUUGCUCUCCGGCAGCCGUACAGCAUCUUUCAUCACUAGCCAAACAACCACUUCCCCUGCCCCAUCACCCACCAUCCCCUUGUAUGCCUUGUUGGCCCACCUAACUCUAUUUAAACCGUCUGAUAUAAACCCUGGACAGCUGUCCCGCUCCAGAUUUAUAAGUUUUUCCUCAUCCGUACGUCCUAACCCAUACCCUUCCACCCACGCGUCUGUCACGCUUUCCACCUUUACCCAUGACCCCACUACACGUACUGGCUGAGGAAACAUCACAACUGACCGAUCCAUAGCCACUCCCUGCAACUGACCAUUAUUAUUAUUACUGUUAUCAUUAUUAUUCCCUUGGUUACCACCAAAACUCAACCAGAUCGGAGCAUUUUUUUUCAUCAUAUCAACUGAAUUAUCCUUCCUUUCAGGAAUCUCCGAUAACAACGGCAGAGUAACUGCCGUUUCUCCGCCAGACACUGAUUUUG
rnacentral:misc_RNA from 1 species